rnacentral:tRNA from 1 species
GGGGCUGUAGUUCAGCGGUAGAACACCUGCCUUGCACGUGUGAAGCACUGGGUUUGAAUCUCAGCACCA